rnacentral:rRNA from 1 species
GAUGAACGCUGGCGGCGUGCCUAAUACAUGCAAGUCGAACGGCAGCAUGGAGAGCUUGCUCUCUGAUGGCGAGUGGCGAACGGGUGAGUAAUGCAUCGGAACGUACCGUGUAAUGGGGGAUAACGUAGCGAAAGUUACGCUAAUACCGCAUACGACCUGAGGGUGAAAGCAGGGGAUCGCAAGACCUUGCGUUAUACGAGCGGCCGAUGUCAGAUUAGCUAGUUGGUGAGGUAAAGGCUCACCAAGGCGACGAUCUGUAGCGGGUCUGAGAGGAUGAUCCGCCACACUGGGACUGAGACACGGCCCAGACUCCUACGGGAGGCAGCAGUGGGGAAUUUUGGACAAUGGGGGCAACCCUGAUCCAGCAAUGCCGCGUGAGUGAAGAAGGCCUUCGGGUUGUAAAGCUCUUUUGUCAGGGAAGAAACACCGGCUCUAACACAGUCCGGGAAUGACGGUACCUGAAGAAUAAGCACCGGCUAACUACGUGCCAGCAGCCGCGGUAA